AAAAGGCGGGGAUGAGCUGUGGUUAGCGGUGAAAUUCCAAUCGAACUCGGAUAUAGCUGGUUCUCAUCGAAAUAGCUUUAGGGCUAGCCUUGGAAUAGAUUACUGGAGGUAAAGCACUGAAUUGGCUAGGGGCCGAGAGGUUACUGAACCUUAUCAAACUAAGAAUGCCAGAUAAUCGUUUUCCAGGAGUCAGACAGUGGGAGAUAAGUUUCAUUGUCAAAAGGGAAACAGCCCAGACCUACAGCUAAGGUCC
rnacentral:rRNA from 17 species